rnacentral:lncRNA from 1 species
GUUCGAGCGUGGGAAGAGUGGUAAAUUUAGUCGAGUGGUUAUUAGAACGUGGCGUGAAGAAUAUAGUAUUAUCUACGUCGGAUGCAAAUGACAACAGAGAGGCAGUACGAGCGAUUAAUAAUGCCACUUCGAGGCAUGAGGCAACGCUACUAAUGACAUCAGCAAAGGCUGCCCACACACCUGCUGGCGUGGAGAAUAUACUAAACCAAGCUAAAAGACUUGGGGAAAUAUCAACGAUAUUUACAGUUUCAAUGGAUACAAAAGACUCCAUCUUACCAGUAAUUCAGAAGUAUAUGAAAAAUUUCCUUAAUGACUACACGCUGAUAAAUAUACAAGGUGAAACGUGGACGCAUGAGAUCAAAAAUAUGGUGACGAUCGUAUGUGACGACGAUGUGAGCUAUUGCAGCGUUCUGAGCCAGGCUUUGACCGAUUGUAAUAAACCAGCAACUUACGUCGUUUCAAGCAAAAGCGGCUGUACAAGAAACGAGUCUGUUAUUGGUGUGAAAGAGUCGAUGACAAACUAUCUACCUUCUUCUUUGCAAGAAUUAGAGGAAAUGGGAGAAUUUUUGUCACUGGGACUCCAGGUUGAGCCUACAGGUUCCUGCUACAUUCAUACAGACUACAUCGUUAGCAACUAACAUGCCAUACAAACACGGAGACGUCCUUCCUGUGUUCAUCAUCCCAGCGUUUUGCGAAACGCAGCUGAGACCUCUACUUUCCAAAUUCAUGUACCCCUGCUACACUGCUCACACACAUCCCGAAGCAAAUUCAGCACGACAAAUCGCAGAGCAUCUAUUCUCGUCUAUGACGAGAGUCCAAACGAAAGGACCUUACACGAUAGUAGCAGAAACGUGGAGUGGUGGGGUAGCGAUGCUUCUCGCAAAUCUUCUGACUGAUGCCAACCAUGAAGUAUCCCUCUUUUUACUACAAGGAUUUCCGAGAAAGAUGUAUUCUCUGUUACCUCAAGAAAAAUCUAUAGCUGAUUGCCUGUUGGAGGUUUUGUUGGAACUAAUUGAAAAAGAGGAUCCGAACAAAAUGAUGGAGCUCAAUGGUACUAAAGGGUUCAAAACAGCAAUGCAACUGAUUUCGAAUAAAUUCAACAGAAGUUUUGUCUCGCGGGCGUUCCAUACUAUUGAAAGGAAUUUAGAACUCGUGAAGAGUCUCUCGAAUCGGAAGAUUUCUUUACAGAGUGCUUUAGUUCUUAUGGAAGUAAGCCAAACCUGCAAGCUGACAUCUGAUGAAGUUGAAGAGGUGUCAAAGAACUGCCAGCUGGUCAAAAUCGACUGUGGGAACCACAAAGAGAUGCUUUCACAUCCCCGCACCGCGAAGCUGAUUGCAGAGGAAGCUCCAUUCUCUUGGUGACGUGUGACUCUCAACAUAAAAAGACAAGAUGGAGAAAAAUCAUGAGAUGCUGUAUAGACUAGAAUAUGACUAUAAUAGGCAUAAUAAGCAGGCAUCACGAUGAUAUGCUAUUGUCAAAAUGUCGCUCUUAGGAAUCAAUGAAGAAUUCGCAAAUAGCUAGGAUUUGCUGACUUCUCUCCAUCCACUGACAGUAAAAUGGAUCAAAUUCACACUUUUCAGUAAACUAAGAAAAAACAUUUUCUCAGUUUUUCAAUUGAACAAUAAUUGUAGGAUUUAUGACGGGUUAAUCAAGUCUGCAAAUGCACUUUCUUACAUAGAAAACUCAGCUUUAUGACGUCAAAAAGCGUAAAAUGUUCUAUGUUAAAACUCUAUUCGCCUUCACUUUACCACAUCAGAAAAAAUAAAUAAAAAUAUUGUGCAUUUGGUUUAUCCAGUAGUUUCACACGAAGCAACCGCAUUUUCUCGUGCAAAUUUUCCAUUGGCUCAAAAAUAAAGUAUAGAAUUGUAAUUUUUCAUAAAUUUAGUUUUGUACAAAAAUUUCUUGUAUUUCCUGAUAUUUCUUAUUAUUUCUGUACGUAAAAUUCAGACUCACAAGAUGUGAUAAAGAUAAUGUGUGUCUUUUGAAAUUUCACUGAAACAUAAAAUCAUUUGUGAAAUUUAGAGGGAGAACUACUUUUAACCGUAUUAUAUGUAUGUCGCAGGCAAUUAGCAAUCUCCGGCAAUUUGCAAGCGGUUCACGCGUUUUUUCAAUAAAUCGCACUUCAAAAAUGAUGCGCAUCGGCAUAAUGCAAUUUUCACGGGUUAUGGUCCUCAAAAGUAUGGGCUCGGCUUGAAUCGCCUUCAUUUUUUGUGAUACUCUACGUUUUGUCACGAAGUUAGUUUAGUUGCCUGUCCGAUCUUAACCCAACUAAUGUCACAGAGUUCAAUACACGCUCUUCUAAGUGUGCAUAUUCCUGACAUGUUUUUAAGGAUGGAAAAGUGUCUAUUCACAUUACAGGCAAUAUAAUCAGCACCCUAAUCUCGUUCCUUUAUUUUUGAAUUUUAUGAUUUCCUAUAUUUAUCCACCACCAGCUUGUAAAUUGCCGGCGAUUGCUAAUUGCCUGCGACAUGUAUACACAGAAUUUCCCUCUGAGUUUUUCUUAUUUUUCAAAAUCAAAUAUGACGAACAGCCUAUCAAAGAGGAUGGAAAAUAUACUCUCUUUAUGUAUUUUGUUGGAUUCAUGUUCCAAAUUUGAGCUUUAAUUCAUGAA